GGUGUGGCAUGGCUGUCUCAGCUCGUGUCGUGAGAAGUUGGGUAAAAUCCCGUAACGAGCGCAACCCUUUUCCUUUUUUUCCAACCGGUUAAGGUGGGCACUCUAAGGAGACUGCCGGUGAAAACCGGAGGAAGGUGGGGAUGACGUCAAGUCAUCAUGCCCCUUACGGCCAGGGCUAAACCCGUGCUACAAUGGUUGGUACAAAGGGUCGCAAACCCGCGAGGUGGAGCUAAUCGCACAAAACCAAUCGUAGUCCGGAUCGCAGUCUGCAACUCGG
rnacentral:rRNA from 1 species